GUGUUGGGGACCGGCGACCUCGCCCGGGGGAACACCCCCGGCGCGUCCGCCGCCCCCGAAAUGAAUUGGCGGCCCCGUCGCGGCCUCCUCUGCGUAGUAGCACAACCUCGCAGCGGGAGCGCGACGCGGCCACUGCCGUAAAACGCCCAACUUUUUUUAGAGUUGACCUCGGAUCAGGUAGGAAUACCCGCUGAACUUAA
rnacentral:misc_RNA from 1 species